UCAUUAAAUCAGUUAUCGUUUAUUUGAUAGUACCUUACUACUUGGAUAACCGUGGUAAUUCUAGAGCUAAUACAUGCUAAAAACCUCGACUUAGGAAGGGGUGUAUUUAUUAGAUAAAAAACCAAUGCCCUUCGGGGCUCACUGGUGAUUCAUAAUAACUUAACGAAUCGCAUGGCCUUGUGCCGGCGAUGGUUCAUUCAAAUUUCUGCCCUAUCAACUUUCGAUGGUAUGGUCUUGGCUUACCAUGGUUUCAACGGGUAACGGGGAAUUAGGGUUCUAUUCCGGAGAGGGAGCCUGAGAAACGGCUACCACAUCCAAGGAAGGCAGCAGGCGCGCAAAUUACCCAAUCCUGAUACAGGGAGGUAGUGACAAUAAAUACUGAUACAGGGCUCUUUUGGGUCUUGUAAUUGGAAUGAGUACAAUUUAAAUCCCUUAACGAGGAACAAUUGGAGGGCAAGUCUGGUGCCAGCAGCCGCGGUAAUUCCAGCUCCAAUAGCGUAUAUUAAAGUUGUUGCAGUUAAAAAGCUCGUAGUUGAACCUUGGGCCUGGUUGGCCGGUCCGCCUCACCGCGUGCACUGGUCCGACCGGGCCUUUCCUUCUGGGGAGCCGCAUGCCCUUCACUGGGUGUGUCGGGGAACCAGGACUUUUACUUUGAAAAAAUUAGAGUGUUCAAAGCAGGCCUAUGCUCGAAUACAUUAGCAUGGAAUAAUAGAAUAGGACGUGUGGUUCUAUUUUGUUGGUUUCUAGGACCGCCGUAAUGAUUAAUAGGGAUAGUCGGGGGCAUCAGUAUUCAAUUGUCAGAGGUGAAAUUCUUGGAUUUAUUGAAGACUAACUACUGCGAAAGCAUUUGCCAAGGAUGUUUUCAUUAAUCAGUGAACGAAAGUUAGGGGAUCGAAGACGAUCAGAUACCGUCGUAGUCUUAACCAUAAACUAUGCCGACUAGGGAUCGGGCGAUGUUAUCUUUUUGACUCGCUCGGCACCUUACGAGAAAUCAAAGUCUUUGGA
rnacentral:rRNA from 1 species